rnacentral:lncRNA from 1 species
UAUGAGCAAAGAUUUGGCCAUGAAAAAAAUAUAAGGCAUGUUGGGGGGUGGGGGGGCAGGGAGAUCAUUCUGGCUCUCCUGGAGGUUUAGGCAGCUAGUGUACAGUGAGCACUGGAGACAGGGAGACCUAAGUUCACACCCAGCCUCAGAGACUUAGUAAUAGUCUUGGGAGUCUAUCUGUGUCCUUCAUUUUCCUUAUCUGUGAAAUGGGGAUAAUAAUCGCAUCUUACUACCCAAGGAUGUUGCAACAGUCAAGAGAGAUACUCACCCUAGCACACAGUGCCUUCUGGAAGCGUUAGAUAUUAUUAUUCAUCUAAGGGAAUGUGACUGAUGAACAUGCAGAGAUGCGUGAAGCUCUGCUCAUAGGAAGUCUCCGAGGAGAGCUGAGGAGUUUUGACUUAAUCUUGCUGCCCUAAAGGCAGAUAAAGUAAUUGAAGCUGAUGGAGAUUAAGUACUUUGCUCAAGGACACAUGGCUAGGAAGAAUCCAAAUCAGAAUCUGAAUUCAGGUCUUCCUGACUGCUGGCUCCCUCUCUAUUUCCAAGCAGUUCAUAGAUCUGGGAUUAAGAACCUUUUUCAGAGGAAGCCUCUUCUGACUCUUUGCCUUAGCAAUGCAAUAAGGAGGUAAGGUGUUUCAUAAAAAAAAAAAAAAAACAAACAAAAAAAACUUUCAUCCAACUUCACAUAUUUUUCCAAGAAGAUACUGCCCCCUUGAGGGGGAUAAAAGAAUUGAUUACCCACUCCUCCCCAAGAAGACCUUCAGAGAAAUUAAAGGGGGUCAUCUGUUCCAGAAAGAUCUUAUUUUUAACUAGAACGCAUCCUGUACCCCAAAAGCAUUCAGUUUGCUCAUUUUCACUCCAUCAGAAGCCC